CUUAUUGUAUGUUUAAAAUAACUUUAUUAUAUUAAUAAUGUUGGUUUUCCAACUACAACGAUAAACGAAUUUCGUAAUAACCAUUACGGACGUGGGGGCAGUACCCACCACCUCCACCAUUACAACUUAUGGGGGGUGAAAUAGGAUCGACGGGUGACUAAAGGCUAUUCUUUCGUUCGGGAUUGUUCCACCGUAACGGGCUAAACUUUAAAUGCUGACGAAAGUUACGCACUUGCUGCAUAAUUAACUUAGGUUAAUUGUAGAAGCACGGUCUGGGGCACCGGGUAACAGAACGCCCCUACU
rnacentral:tmRNA from 1 species